rnacentral:sRNA from 1 species
GGAGUUGUGGACUGUAGUCUGGUUAUCCUUUGCUUUACAUCUAAUGUCCACAACCUUCCCCAAUAGAGAAGCACCAGUUUCUGGUCAAUGGUAUACAAGUAGCUGUACUCCCCUUCUAGAACCUCCAAACAAGAUCCCAAGAUGAAAAUUUUGAGGCCUGUGAGGCAGCAUGUAGGUCUAGUCUCUUAUAGACUGAACAGAACUUCAAACAGCCCUACAGAGAUGUAUGUAUUGA